UACGUAGGGAGCAAGCGUUGUCCGGAAUCAUUGGGCGUAAAGAGCGCGUAGGCGGUCCGGUAAGUCGGUUGUGAAAACUGGGGGCUCAACCCUCAGAGGCCGACCGAUACUGCCGGGCUAGAGUCCGGAAGAGGCGAGUGGAAUUCCUGGUGUAGCGGUGAAAUGCGCAGAUAUCAGGAGGAACACCAAUUGCGAAGGCAGCUCGCUGGGACGGUACUGACGCUGAGGCGCGAAAGCGUGGGGAGCAAACAGG
rnacentral:rRNA from 1 species